rnacentral:rRNA from 2 species
AGAGUUUGAUCAUGGCUCAGAUUGAACGCUGGCGGCAGGCCUAACACAUGCAAGUCGAACGGUAACAGGAAGCAGCUUGCUGCUUUGCUGACGAGUGGCGGACGGGUGAGUAAUGUCUGGGAAACUGCCUGAUGGAGGGGGAUAACUACUGGAAACGGUGGCUAAUACCGCAUAACGUCGCAAGACCAAAGAGGGGGACCUUCGGGCCUCUUGCCAUCAGAUGUGCCCAGAUGGGAUUAGCUUGUUGGUGAGGUAACGGCUCACCAAGGCGACGAUCCCUAGCUGGUCUGAGAGGAUGACCAGCCACACUGGAACUGAGACACGGUCCAGACUCCUACGGGAGGCAGCAGUGGGGAAUAUUGCACAAUGGGCGCAAGCCUGAUGCAGCCAUGCCGCGUGUAUGAAGAAGGCCUUCGGGUUGUAAAGUACUUUCAGCGGGGAGGAAGGUGUUGUGGUUAAUAACCACAGCAAUUGACGUUACCCGCAGAAGAAGCACCGGCUAACUCCGUGCCAGCAGCCGCGGUAAUACGGAGGGUGCAAGCGUUAAUCGGAAUUACUGGGCGUAAAGCGCACGCAGGCGGUCUGUCAAGUCGGAUGUGAAAUCCCCGGGCUCAACCUGGGAACUGCAUUCGAAACUGGCAGGCUUGAGUCUUGUAGAGGGGGGUAGAAUUCCAGGUGUAGCGGUGAAAUGCGUAGAGAUCUGGAGGAAUACCGGUGGCGAAGGCGGCCCCCUGGACAAAGACUGACGCUCAGGUGCGAAAGCGUGGGGAGCAAACAGGAUUAGAUACCCUGGUAGUCCACGCCGUAAACGAUGUCUACUUGGAGGUUGUGCCCUUGAGGCGUGGCUUCCGGAGCUAACGCGUUAAGUAGACCGCCUGGGGAGUACGGCCGCAAGGUUAAAACUCAAAUGAAUUGACGGGGGCCCGCACAAGCGGUGGAGCAUGUGGUUUAAUUCGAUGCAACGCGAAGAACCUUACCUGGUCUUGACAUCCACGGAAGAAUCCAGAGAUGGAUUUGUGCCUUCGGGAACCGUGAGACAGGUGCUGCAUGGCUGUCGUCAGCUCGUGUUGUGAAAUGUUGGGUUAAGUCCCGCAACGAGCGCAACCCUUAUCCUUUGUUGCCAGCGAUUAGGUCGGGAACUCAAAGGAGACUGCCAGUGAUAAACUGGAGGAAGGUGGGGAUGACGUCAAGUCAUCAUGGCCCUUACGACCAGGGCUACACACGUGCUACAAUGGCGCAUACAAAGAGAAGCGACCUCGCGAGAGCAAGCGGACCUCAUAAAGUGCGUCGUAGUCCGGAUUGGAGUCUGCAACUCGACUCCAUGAAGUCGGAAUCGCUAGUAAUCGUGGAUCAGAAUGCCACGGUGAAUACGUUCCCGGGCCUUGUACACACCGCCCGUCACACCAUGGGAGUGGGUUGCAAAAGAAGUAGGUAGCUUAACCUUCGGGAGGGCGCUUACCACUUUGUGAUUCAUGACUGGGGUGAAGUCGUAACAAGGUAACCGUAGGGGAACCUGCGGUUG